rnacentral:rRNA from 1 species
UACGUGGGGGGCAAGCGUUGUCCGGAAUCAUUGGGCGUAAAGCGCGUGUAGGCGGCCAGAAAAGUCCGCUGUGAAAACUCGAGGCUCAACUUCGAGCUGUCGGUGGAAACUUUCUGGCUAGAGUCCGGAAGAGGAGAAUGGAAUUCCUGGUGUAGCGGUGAAAUGCGCAGAUAUCAGGAAGAACACCCGUGGCGAAGGCGGUUCUCUGGGACGGUACUGACGCUGAGACGCGAAAGCGUGGGGAGCGAACAGG